GGGGGGGGGGGGGGGGGGGGGGGGGGGGGGGGGGGGGGGGGGGGAGGCGCGGGGUAGGUGGGGUGGUCGAGUGGCGAGGGGUUGGGUAGCACGUGGGUACCCUGCCCAGUACGGUGGGAGCACUGCAGGGAACUGGGGCGAAGAGGGGAUGGGAGCGCCUGCGGCCUGGUGUGGGUUGGAACGAUUCGGCGGUUGGGGAUGGACUCGCGGCUUAUCAGCUUGUUGGUGAGUUAGUGGCGUACCAAGGCGUUGAAGGGUAGCCGGCCUGAGAGGGUGACCGGCACCAUUGGGACUGAGAUACGGCCCAGACUCCUACGGGAGGCAGCAGUGGGGAAUAUUGCACAAUGGGCGGACGCCUGAUGCAGCAACGUCGUGUGCGGGAUGACGGCCUUCGGGUUGUAAACCGCUUUCGCCUGUGACGAAGCGUGAGUGACGGUAAUGGGUAAAGAAGAACCGGCUAACUACGUG
rnacentral:rRNA from 1 species